UACGAAGGGGGCUAGCGUUGCUCGGAAUCACUGGGCGUAAAGGGCGCGUAGGUGGCGACCCAAGUCAACGGUGAAAGCUCGACGCUCAACGUCGAGUCGGCCGUCGAUACUGGGGUUGCUCGAGCACUGUAGAGGCAGAUGGAAUUCCGGGUGUAGCGGUGGAAUGCGUAGAGAUCCGGAAGAACACCGGUGGCGAAGGCGGUCUGCUGGGCAGUAGCUGACACUGAGGCGCGACAGCGUGGGGAGCAAACAGG
rnacentral:rRNA from 1 species